CCUACGGGAGGCAGCAGUGAGGAAUAUUGGUCAAUGGCCGUAAGGCUGAACCAGCCAAGUAGCGUGAGGGAAGACUGCCCUAUGGGUUGUAAACCUCUUUUAUGCGGGGAUAAAGGUGUCCACGUGCGGAUGUUUGCAGGUACCGCAUGAAUCAGGACCGGCUAAUUCCGUGCCAGCAGCCGCGGUAAUACGGAAGGUCCGGGCGUUAUCCGGUUUUAUGGGGAUUAAAGGGAGCGUAGGCCGGUCUUUAAGCGUGCCGUGAAAUUUUGUGGCUCAACCAGGAGAGUGCGGUGCGAACUGGAGACCUUGAAUGCGCGGAAGGCAGGGGGAAUUCGUGGUGUAGCGGUGAAAUGCUUAGAUAUCACGAAGAACCCCGAUUGCGAAGGC
rnacentral:rRNA from 1 species